UUCCAAAACAAUGUUGCCAUGGCUGUUUUGAAUAGUGCCGCUUCGUGCUUCUCGAGUCCAUCGCUUCAAAAUAUAGUGGCUUGUAAGAUACUUAAUAUUCAUGACAUCAAGGGUUUUCAAAGCAUGACUACACAAUAUACCAACUCUUUCAAAUUGACCACAGCUACAUAGAACUUUUUGCUCUUCAUCAACUAGAACUUUGCAUUCUUCUUCAUAAGAGCAUUCUGGGUUAAGAUUGGCAAUUGCAACAGUAUAUACAUUGUGUUCCUCCGAUGGCUUCAUGUGUGCUGAGAUGGAUCUCUAUAUUCAUUCUGAAAAUCUUCAAAUAUGUGAGGUGUGUAAACUUUGCUUGCUUGUAUUACUGUAGAAGUUCUUAUUCUAACUCUAGGUAAGUUUUUCCUAGACUCAUAUUCCUCAUUUACCUCUUUAUCUCUCUUUCCUUGCACAACCCUCUCUACGUGCUUGAAAAAAAAAGAAUGUCAAGAUCAGACUUCAAAUGGUCUUUCAAGUCACUAUUCAAGCUCUCACUUAAUUGUGUGCUUCUCAUGCCUAUAGUGUAAGCAUUCCUCAUGUAACAUCUUGCCCAUUUCUCUUUUACUUUAUAGAUACUGUCCAACCAAGUCUGUGUAUCCACAUUGAUUCUUAUGGCAGUGAAAGCUUCUUCAAAGUCUUCCUCUUCCUCGUACUUGUACAUGCAAGCACUAAAAUCAGCAAGUACAUUUGGGCCAUCCUCGUCUUUUUCUUAUGAGGUAAAUGUUUGAUGGCAUUUUGCAUUAUGUGAAAAGUGCACAAUCCAUGCCAUGCUUCUGUAAAUACCGCCCGAAUUGCAUUACCCAUUGCUACGUCCUGGUCAGUAAAGAUAGUUCUAGGCUGCUUUUUGUUAUGUAGGAAAGUGUUGAACAACCAUCUGAAGGAUUCAAAUGUCUCGUUGUAUAGAAGUGCAGCACCAAAAAUGACCAUUUCUCUAAAAUGGUUGAAGCCAACAAAUACACCAAAGGGUCUGUACUCUGUACUUGUCCCAAAUGUAGUAUCAAACGUAACAACAUCACCGAAGUGAGCAUAGUCAAUGAUCAUCUUCGCAUCAGCCCAGAAGAUAUUUGCUAUUUGUUCAUCACAAUUGUGUUGUACGUCAUAUACAAAUGCAGGAUUCUUGUUUUUUUAUCUCGAAAGUACUUGAGCAUACUUCCAGCUUCACCAUACAUCAACUCCCUUUGACGCUUGGUUCGCAAAUAGUUCUUGUGAUCACGAGGUGUGUAGGUAAGCUUUGAUGACCCACCAACUUGCCGACUUGCCAACUCAUGGGCUGCUUUUGGUACAAUUCCUUAAUCAUCUGCAGUUUCAAUGUCAAAAUCUUGCAAGGUCGAUAUCUUCCGCUGUGAUGGCAUCAAGUGACAUGUUCCACACAAUUGCAAGACAUGGUUGUGUUCAGUGACUAACUCGUGUACUUCGUAAUUUCAUGUUUCUCGGUCGAUGGUGAUUCCCAUUCGAACUUUACAACCAGCCCUUGUUUCUGCACGAGGACGCUUGGUGUUGUGAUCUCUUUUGUCUAUUCUUCUGUAGCCCUCAUUGGAACAAAUGUAUCUCGCGGAAGUGAUUGCCCCAUCAAGUUUGCUCUUAUUUUCAUAAUUUACCCUUACGUCAAAACCAAUAUGACCUCCAUAACAAGUCCAAAAGCCCCAAGCCUCUUUUGUGGAAUUAAAUUUCAUACCAUUUUGAGGCAUCCAACUAGGAAUCAUAUUUCUCCUGUAAAAAGUAGGCAUAUCUUAAUUUAUUUGUCUAGUUACACUACAAGAAUACGAUGAUAUGGCCUGAGAAUUUUUAAAAAAUUGAGUGUACAUGUUUGAAUCUUUGUUGGAGUUGGUCAUAUUCUGCAUUACACCUUCUCGUUUCCUUUUUUGUAAUCUGUGAUAGCAUAGCAAACUCAGUCUAUACGAAUUCUCUUGCUACCUUGAGAACAUGAAUACAAUUAGAGCAUAUGUUACAUACCUCAAAAUUGAUCGUCUUUUUUUUGCUAGGAGAAGGAAGAGGCAAAACGGAGAUCAUCUACAUUAAUCUCCUGUCAAGUAUUGGAAAUUCCAAGUAUUUCAUGAGCAAAGCACCUAUGGUACAACUUGCAUCUAUAGAUCUAACUACAUUCAUGUAUUUUAUCUUGAGAUUAUUCAAAACAACAGAGAUCACUUCUGUUAGCAAAGCACCUAUGGUACAACUUGCAUGUACAGGUCUGACUACAUUCAUGUAUUUUAUCUUGAGCUAUUUAGAACAAUAGAGAUCACUUCUGUUCAAAUAUACUUUUUCACUGUAACAUCAUCCAAAAGGUGCAGGAAUAAAUUUUGGAUCUCCUUCCUUCCUUAAUACUUCUGAUUUUCUACUAGUUGUUUGGAGGGUUCGACUCCUCAGCAAUUUAGCUGCUGAAUUUAUAAAAAUUAAUGUUACAUGUUUGAAACUUCGUCGCCGUUAAUUAUAUUCUCCACUAAACCUUGUCUUUUUUUGUAAUCUAUGAUCAUAUAGCAAAAUCAGUCUAGGAAUUCUCUUGUUGCCUUGAGAACAUGAAU
rnacentral:lncRNA from 1 species